CUGGCGGCGUCCCUAACACAUGCAAGUCGAGCGAUUCUCUUCGGAGAAGAGCGGCGGACGGGUGAGUAACGCGUGGGUAACCUGCCCUGUACACACGGAUAACAUACCGAAAGGUAUGCUAAUACGGGAUAACAUAUGAAAGUCACAUGGCUUUUGUAUCAAAGCUUUUGCGGUACAGGAUGGACCCGCGUCUGAUUAGCUAGUUGGUGAGGUAAUGGCUCACCAAGGCAACGAUCAGUACCCGACCUGAGAGGGUGAUCGGCCACACUGGAACUGAGACACGGUCCACACUCCUACGGGAGGCAGCAGUGGGGAAUAUUGCACAAUGGGCGAAAGCCUGAUGCACCAACGCCUCGUGAGCCCAUGAAGGCCUUCCGCUUGUCAAAGCACUUU
rnacentral:rRNA from 1 species